rnacentral:rRNA from 1 species
AUUGAACGCUGGCGGCAUGCCUUACACAUGCAAGUCGAACGGCAGCGGGGGAGAAGCUUGCUUUUCCUGCCGGCGAGUGGCGAACGGGUGAGUAAUACAUCGGAACGUGCCCUGUAGUGGGGGAUAACUAGUCGAAAGAUUAGCUAAUACCGCAUACGACCUGAGGGUGAAAGUGGGGGACCGCAAGGCCUCAUGCUAUAGGAGCGGCCGAUAUCUGAUUAGCUAGUUGGUGGGGUACAGGCCUACCAAGGCGACGAUCAGUAGCUGGUCUGAGAGGACGAUCAGCCACACUGGGACUGAGACACGGCCCAUACUCCUACGGUAGGCAGAAGUGAGGAAUUUUGGACAAUGGGCGAAAGCAUGAUCCAGCAAUGCGGCUUGUGUGAAGAAGGCCUUCGGGUUGUAAAGCACUUUUGUCCGGAAAGAAAUGGCUCUGGUUAAUACCUGGGGUCGAUGACGGUACCGGAAGAAUAAGGACCGGCUAACUACGUGCCAGCCGCCGCCGUAA